UUUCCCUUUUGGGGCUGGUAUACAGGUGGUGCAUGGUUGUCGUCAGCUCGUGUCGUGAGAUGUUGGGUUAAGUCCCGCAACGAGCGCAACCCUCGUUCUAUGUUGCCAGCACGUAAUGGUGGGGACUCAUAGGAGACUGCCGGGGUCAACUCGGAGGAAGGUGGGGAUGACGUCAAAUCAUCAUGCCCCUUAUGUCUUGGGCUUCACGCAUGCUACAAUGGCCGGUACAAAGGGUUGCGAUACUGUGAGGUUGAGCUAAUCCCAAAAAGCCGGUCUCAGUUCGGAUUGGGGUCUGCAACUCGACCCCAUGAAGUCGGAGUCGCUAGUAAUCGCAGAUCAGCAACGCUGCGGUGAAUACGUUCCCGGGCCUUGUACACACCGCCCGUCAAGUCACGAAAGUUGGUAACACCCGAAGCCGAUGGCCUAACCCCUUGUGGGAGGGAGUCGUCGAAG
rnacentral:rRNA from 1 species